CAGUAUCUUCGACAGCCCAGCCACAGACAACCGAAGAUCCGAUACUUGAGGAUUGUGCGGCAUACCAUGCGGCAGGACAGAACACCAGUGGAGUCUACACCCUCAAUGUGUCAUCCACCAGUGUGGAGGCGUACUGUGACAUGGAUAACGAAGGAGGCGGGUGGACCGUGAUCCAGCGGCGGCGGGACGGGUCGGUUCCCUUUAACCGGAACUGGGAGGAGUACAAACAGGGCUUUGGGAACAAGAACGGAGAAUACUGGCUGGGGAACGACAACAUCCACCUCCUGACCACACGGAAAAACUACAAAUUAAAAAUUGUCCUGGAGGACUGGUAUGGCGCCACGAGGUUCGCAGAGUACA